rnacentral:sRNA from 1 species
GAAAAAAACCAAAAAAAGA